UACGUAGGGGGCAAGCGUUGUCCGGAAUCAUUGGGCGUAAAGAGCGCGUAGGCGGUCCGGUAAGUCAGCUGUGAAAGUCAGGGGCUCAACCCUUGAAAGCCGGUUGAUACUGUCGGGCUAGAGUCCGGAAGAGGCGAGUGGAAUUCCCGGUGUAGCGGUGAAAUGCGCAGAUAUCGGGAGGAACACCAAUGGCGAAGGCAGCUCGCUGGGACGGUACUGACGCUGAGGCGCGAAAGCGUGGGGAGCGAACGGG
rnacentral:rRNA from 1 species